rnacentral:rRNA from 1 species
AGACAACUCUCAACAACGGAUAUCUUGGCUCUCGUAACGAUGAAGAACGCAGCGAAAUGCGAUACGUAGUGUGAAUUGCAGAAUUCCGUGAAUCAUCAAGUCUUUGAACGCAUAUUGCGGUGAAGGCUUCGGCCAACACCAUCUCUGGUUCAGCGUCGAUG